rnacentral:rRNA from 1 species
GAUGAACGCUGGCGGCGUGCCUAAUACAUGCAAGUCGAGCGAACAGACGAGGAGCUUGCUCCUCUGACGUUAGCGGCGGACGGGUGAGUAACACGUGGAUAACCUACCUAUAAGACUGGGAUAACUUCGGGAAACCGGAGCUAAUACCGGAUAACAUGUUGAACCGCAUGGUUCAACAGUGAAAGACGGUUUUGCUGUCACUUAUAGAUGGAUCCGCGCCGCAUUAGCUAGUUGGUAAGGUAACGGCUUACCAAGGCAACGAUGCGUAGCCGACCUGAGAGGGUGAUCGGCCACACGGGAACUGAGACACGGUCCAGACUCCUACGGGAGGCAGCAGUAGGGAAUCUUCCGCAAUGGGCGAAAGCCUGACGGAGCAACACCGCGUGAGUGAAGAAGGUCUUCGGAUCGUAAAACUCUGUUAUUAGGGAAGAACAAAUGUGUAAGUAACUAUGCACGUCUUGACGGUACCUAAUCAGAAAGCCACGGCUAACUACGUG